UGGAAAUAUAAUCUCAUCCUCGUGUAAGCUUAGGGUUAUUAAUUGGUUUUCGUCGGCUUUUUAAAAGACCUUGACUUUAAUUUAUAUAGACGACUAUAUCUAGUAGGUGGCUAGAUUGUUUACUUUGCGACAAAGAAUUCACAGCUAGAUUGCAUAACUCUAGUAUUCACCGGCAAUGUCUGCCAAGCUUUUUUUUCUAAUUUUGAUCUUGAUGCUUGGCCUUCUACUGCUCACUGCCGCAGCUGCUUCUGAUGCCUGUGGAGAAGAAGGCGGUCUUUUUCAGAAAAUGUGUAAACCUAUAGCUCAAGUGGGUCAGGGUUUUUUCCUCGAAGAUAUGUAAGGGAUCGAAUAGCUAGGCUCCAGCUCCCCCGCCAUCCACCGCCCAUGUUAUCUCCAUCUUCAGCUUGCUGUAUCUUAUUCUAAAUUGAUGCUAAAAAAUAUGGUAAACAUGUGUUUGUUUGCUAGGAGAGGAGCGAGCUUCCUAUAUGUCUGAAGUGCUAUAGUGUAUGUUUAAGUACAAGAUAAAAUAAUUUAAAGAUAUGCUAUCCUUGGACCGGCACCAGAAAUGGUUAGCUCUCAUCAUAGUGCUUCAUGGUCGAUCUCGAUCUUUUCUUGUAACAAUCGAUCAAGUAAGUGAUUAAUCUUUGUCAGCUGUAAUCUAUGGGUAAUUAAAGUGUGUGUGUGUGUGUGUCUCUCUCUCUCUCUCUCUCUCUUUCUAUCUGUAUCUGAUGAAAAUACAGAUGAUUUCUUUUGGUUCUGCAUCUCUCAAUGAGUUGAUUUUGUUUUGACUGUACUCUAUUUGCUUCAAGCUUGCCCCAACCAUAGAGAAGGCCCAAAGCUCAAAAAUUAUUCCAAACUGAUCAAUCAACUACUAGAAUUCUUUUCCUGCCGGCCUUUUCUAUUAUGGUUUGUUUGGUGUUAAGGAACACUUUUUGGGAAUUGAUUGUUGAUUAUUGUUGCCUAGUCCUUCACUCUACCUCCAUGGAAAUUGGGUUUUAUUUGCUAUUUGUGCUCACGAUUGAAAAAAAA
rnacentral:lncRNA from 1 species